AGUGCGCUAAGUACUGCAUAACUCUAGCUAGCUAGCGAGUAAGAAAAGGGAUAAAAAUGAAUGGAAAAACUGGACCAAGUAAAAAGCCAAAGACCUAUCACUACCAUACAGAGUCAUUUUCGAAGUGCGUUUGCGUCGUAUGUCAGUCUACAAUUGCUUUACCGAAGAAGGGAAAUGUGGAGCGUCAUUUUCGGACUGUUCAUAAAAAUGAUGACACCGAGUUAUCUGGCUGAUUCCAUUCAGUGCAAGUCAUCAGAGUAAGCCUCUAAAAGCCUACAGCCUCCUCCCAGCCUAACCACUAGCCCCAGAGCCCCAGAUAAAUCUCAACCGCAAUGAAAACAGUGACUUCAGCUGUUCAACACAUCACAACCAGGAAGGAGAGGAGGCCCGGGCAGCGACGGAGAUGGUGGAGAGAGGAGAAACACAUGGACAAACAGGAUGAUGCUGUGCAGUUGUACAAGACACCCCUCGCCCUGGUCCUGGCACGAGCUAGCACAGCAAAAUUCAUCUUGUUUCGUCUCGUGGCUUCGCCUGGCAACCAGCAACCACCUGUACUGCCUUUUUUGACCUCUGACCUGCCGCAACCAUGUCCUGACAGAUAAUGCUGAAUAAUAAUUUCCUUCCCAGUUUCAAAGCAACAAAUCUGUUGAUUUUGACGUGUGACUCUACACUUGUAGCCCAAAGUAGCAUUUGUUAGCGAGCUACAAAGCUAAAUAAAGUCUGUCACUACUAGAAACAACACUGUUAGCAUAUUUUGCCAUUCAGUACUGAAUGUUUCCAUGUCUCAUUCGAAGGAAAACAAGAAACCCCAAAUGCACCAUAUACACUACAGUGGGGAUUUUCUUAUUUUUUGGCAUAUUUGUCACACUUAAAUGUUUCAGAUCUUUCAGAUCAAACAAACUUAAAUACAAGUCAAUGACCACACAAUGAACAUAAACGGCAGUUUUUAAAUGAAACUUUUUAUUUUUAAAGAGGAA